rnacentral:misc_RNA from 1 species
UCUUCGUUGGUGAACCAGCGGAGGGAUCAUUAUCGAGUUCCCGCUCCUUAUAACCCUUUGUGAACAUAUCCCAAACGUGGCCUCGGCGGGCAGCCGGAGCCCAGCUCCGUCGCCCGGAGCCGCCGUCUCGGCGCGCCCCCCCCGCCGGCGGACCACCAAACUCUAUUUAAACGACGUCUCUUCUGAGUGGCACAAGCAAAUAAUCAAGACUUUAAACAACGGAUCUCUUGGUUCUGGCAUCGAUGAAGAACCAGC